rnacentral:sRNA from 1 species
AGACGCUGAGUGUCAGAGAUCUGACAGCGGGAGAACCAAUUUUGGGGUGAAUUCGCAAAGACGCGAUAGGAGACUUCCCUCUCCGAACCCGACAGCUAAUCUCGUAAGCGUGG